rnacentral:rRNA from 1 species
UCAGGACGAACGCUGGCGGCGUGCUUAACACAUGCAAGUCGAACGGGGCAAUCGAAAGCUUGCUUUGAAAGCCUAGUGGCAAACGGGUGAGUAACGCGUAGGCAACCUACCCUUGGGAUGGGGACAACAGGACGAAAGCCCUGCUAAUACCGAAUGAAGCAUCCCUUCCGCAUGGAGGGGAUAUGAAAGAUGGCCUCUACUUGUAAGCUAUCACCCAGGGAUGGGCCUGCGUCUGAUUAGCCAGUUGGCGGGGUAACGGCCCACCAAAGCGACGAUCAGUAGCCGGUCUGAGAGGAUGAACGGCCACAUUGGGACUGAGACACGGCCCAGACUCCUACGGGAGGCAGCAGUGGGGAAUCUUCCGCAAUGGGCGCAAGCCUGACGGAGCAACGCCGCGUGAAGUGAAGAAGGUCUUCGGAUCGUAAAGCUCUGUUGUUGGGGACGAACGUGCUUUUUGCGAAUAGUGGAAAGCAAUGACGGUACCCGACGAGGAAGCCACGGCUAACUACGUGCCAGCCGCGGC